GCCGCACAGGUCUAAAUGGCUGAGACAUCUGCCUUCCAAGCAGAGGAACCGGGUUCGAUUCCCGGGUGCGGUUCGA
rnacentral:tRNA from 1 species